rnacentral:ncRNA from 2 species
CGUCGCUUGACGGAGCGCAGUUAACAAACUGCUGAGAUUGUCUUAAUCAUCCAAUUUAAAGACAAGUACCGUUGAACCUGAUCAGGUUAAAACCUGCGUAGGAAUCAAGCCCAGCAAAAAC